CCUACGGGUGGCAGCAGUGGGGAAUAUUGGACAAUGGGCGAAAGCCUGAUCCAGCCAUGCCGCGUGUGUGAAGAAGGCCUUCGGGUUGUAAAGCACUUUCGGUGGGGAAGAAAGCCUUGGGGCUAAUACCCUCGAGGAAGGACAUCACCCACAGAAGAAGCACCGGCUAACUCCGUGCCAGCAGCCGCGGUAAUACGGAGGGUGCGAGCGUUAAUCGGAAUUACUGGGCGUAAAGCGCGCGUAGGCGGUCUGAUAAGCCGGUUGUGAAAGCCCCGGGCUCAACCUGGGAACGGCAUCCGGAACUGUCAGGCUAGAGUGCAGGAGAGGAAGGUAGAAUUCCCGGUGUAGCGGUGAAAUGCGUAGAGAUCGGGAGGAAUACCAGUGGCGAAGGCGGCCUUCUGGACUGACACUGACGCUGAGGUGCGAAAGCGUGGGUAGCAAACAGGAUUAGAUACCCGUGUAGUC
rnacentral:rRNA from 1 species